GUUUCUAUUUUAAAAAGCAACUUUUAUAUUAAGUUCAGGGGAACAUGUGUAGGCUUGCUAUGUAGACAAAUUUGUGUCAUGGGUGUUUGUUGCAGAUUAUUUCAUCACCCAGGUAUUAAGCCUAGUACCCAUUAGUUAUUUGUCCUUAUCCAGUCACUCCUCCCACCCUCCACCCUCUGAAAGGCCCAGUGCAUAUUUUUCCCCUCUAUGUGCCCAUGUGUUCUCAUCAUUUAGCUCACAAAGGCAAUAUUUGGUUUUCUGUUCCUGUGUUACUUUGCUAAGGAUAAUGGCCUCCAAGUCCAUUCAGAACCCUGUAAAUGAUAUGAUCUCAUUUUUUUUAUGGCUGCAUACUAUUUCACAAAUGUGGUGUGUACCACAUUUUUUUUUAUCCAAUCUAUCACUGAUGGGCAUUUAAGCUGAUUCCAUUUCUUUGC